CUCUCUCUCUCUCUCUCUCUCUCUCUUCAAUCGGACUGAAACUGAAGGCCACACCGCUCAAUCGCUGCCUCUCUCCUUUCUUCUCUCUCUCUCUCUGACCACCGAUCAGUGCGAUCUCCGGUGACCAAAUCCCUUCUCGACAACCGCUACUGCCUUUUGCCUUCUCUACAAGCUUCUCCCAAACUCCGUCGUUCACCUCUCUCUCUCUCUCUCUCUGCGCUUCUCACCCGCAGUCGAUCUCUCUCCAUUUCUCUACCACCCAGCUCCUCUUCCUUCUCUCCAGUCCGCACCACACAGCUCCUCUUCUCUCCGCAGUCGGCACCACACAGCUUCGGCCUCUCUCUCAUGAAUCUUCACCUGGUAUUUUUGUUUUUAAGCUUGAAUCAAUGUUUAAGUGAGUAGAGCUAAUUGUUUUGUUUGAUUUUUGUUUAUUUCUGUAAUUUUUUUGAGCAAGUAUUUGUAUUGAUCUGCCUGCUCAAUUUUUAAGACUUGGGACUGAGUUAAUUUUAUGUACUUUUAAUUUGCUUGUCGAAUCAUUAGCAAGGAUUCUGUAUUUGCUUCCGUUUCAGCAAUUUGGGUACUCCUCCAAGCUCCAACAGUGUAUCAAAUUCCAACGUCUAACACCGAUGACAACUCCAAUUUCUAACAAUGGUGACUUUCCAGCUAUGAAGACAACUUCAACAAAUUUUUUAACAAUAAUCUGACAAUGAUAACAACUUCAGCGAAUAUUCUCAUUUUAUUUUCUACUCUUUUUGCGGCUAAUAUUUUAUUCUAGUGGAUAAUGACUAUUUUGGAUAGUGUACUGAGUUGAUGAUUAAAUCUUGGAGCUUUUGAGAAGUUUUUAACUAAUUUUAUUUUGGUAUUGUAUUUGAUUUGUUCAAUAUUCCAUACAAUAUCUAGAAUAUAAGCAUGUAAAAUUUAUUUAUAAUUUUUGACAUCCAUAACAUAACUGGUUUUUUUUUAUCAAGAUAACACCUCUAGCAAUUUACACUCAUUCUAUAUAUUUUCUACUUCUUUUGUGGCUAAUAUUAUUCUUUAGUGGAUAUUGAAUGUUUUGGUAGUGUGUUGAUGGUCUAGUAUUGGAGUUUUUGAGAAGUUUUUAACUGGUUUUAAUAUUAGUAUUGUGUUGGUAUUAGUUUUGAUAGUGGGUUGAUGAUAAGUUUUUGAGCUUAUUAAAAAUAUGUAAAUUUUAUUGCUUAGAAUAAACUGUUGUCUUAAUUUAUUGCCUUAACAAAAUUAUAUUACUAUUGUUUUAGCUUUUAUAGUUUUUUUUUGUUUGUUAAUUUUUUUUUUAUAUAUAGUUACAGUACUUAUGUAAAUAACUGGUUAUUUUAUAUGAUAAAAAAUGAAUCACAAUUUUAUAGUUUUUUAUGGCAUUCUUUUUUAUUUAUAAAAUUUUUCCCAUAUUUUAAAGUUUUUUUUUAAAAAAUGCCAUAUUUAAUGCAAUUAAGUUUGCAUGCCAUAUCUAUCAAAACUUUAAUUUCUUUUCCCAUAUUUUUGUAAAUAGCCCAAUAAAAAUCUAAAAACACAUUUGGGCCAAGAUAAGGGCCGUGGGCCUAUUCCCCCUCCCCACCCAAACUUGGACUGCUCCCCACGAA